rnacentral:piRNA from 1 species
UCAGAGUGUGCACUCAAACGGCUGC